rnacentral:rRNA from 1 species
UACGUAGGGCGCAAGCGUUGUCCGGAAUUAUUGGGCGUAAAGAGCUCGUAGGCGGCUCAGUAAGUCAGGUGCGAAAACUCCAGGCUCAACCUGGAGACGCCACUUGAUACUGCUGUGGCUAGAGUCCGGUAGGGGAGCAUGGAAUUCCUGGUGUAGCGGUGAAAUGCGCAGAUAUCGGGAGGAACACCAAUGGCGAAGGCAGCUCGCUGGGACGGUACUGACGCUGAGACGCGAAAGCGUGGGGAGCAAACAGG